AGUUUUCUCCCGGUUCACGUCGUUAUCGUGCAGGAAGAGAUUAGAAAUGGCCACAACUCGGUGAAAGAAGAAAAGGCGCCACUCUAAACGAUUUAGCCGUGAACGCGAGGCGAAUUUUAUUUUUUAAGUCUUUGAUAAUCAGGUUGUACAAUGUCCAACAGAACAGCCUACUUUUACGACCCCGACGUCGGCAAUUUCCAUUAUGGCGCGGGACAUCCAAUGAAACCUCAUCGUCUCUCCCUGACGCACAGUCUCGUUUUGCAUUAUGGAUUGUACAAGAAGAUGAUGGUGUUUAAACCAUACAAAGCCUCCCAACAUGACAUGUGUCGUUUCCACUCGGAAGACUACAUCGAUUUCCUGCAAAAGGUUAGUCCGAACAAUAUGCAGGGCUUCACAAAGAGUCUUAACACCUUUAAUGUAGGAGACGACUGUCCCGUUUUCCCCGGUCUGUUCGAGUUCUGCUCGCGGUACACGGGAGCCUCGCUCCAGGGCGCGACGCAGCUCAACCAUAAGAUCUGUGAUAUUGCCAUUAACUGGGCUGGGGGCCUGCAUCACGCCAAGAAGUUCGAGGCUUCGGGGUUCUGUUAUGUCAACGACAUCGUCAUCAGCAUCCUGGAGCUGCUGAAGUACCACCCGAGAGUGUUGUAUAUCGACAUUGACAUUCACCAUGGCGACGGGGUGCAGGAGGCUUUCUAUCUCACAGACCGAGUUAUGACGGUGUCCUUCCACAAGUACGGCAAUUACUUCUUUCCCGGGACGGGUGACAUGUACGAGGUGGGUGCCGAAAGCGGCCGCUACUACUGCCUGAACGUGCCGCUGCGCGAUGGCAUUGACGACCAAAGCUACCGGCAGCUCUUCCAGCCGGUCAUCAAGCAGGUGGUGGACUUCUACCAGCCCACCUGCAUCGUGCUACAGUGUGGGGCUGACUCGCUGGGCUGUGACCGCCUGGGCUGCUUCAACCUCAGCAUCCGCGGCCACGGCGAGUGCGUGGAGUUCGUCAAGAGCUUCAAGAUUCCGGUGCUGGUGCUGGGUGGCGGUGGGUACACGGUGCGGAACGUGGCGCGCUGCUGGACCUACGAGACGUCCCUCCUGGUGGACGAGCCAAUCAGCGACGAGCUGCCCUACAGCGAGUACUUCGAGUACUUUGCGCCGGACUUUACGCUGCACCCAGACGUCAGCACGCGCAUCGAGAACCAGAACUCGCGCCAGUACCUGGAGCAGAUCCGGCAGACGGUGUUCGAGAACCUGAAGAUGCUGAACCACGCCCCCAGCGUCCAGAUCCACGACGUGCCCGCCGACCUCCUGAGCUACGAGCGCACGGACGAGCCGGACCAGGACGAGCGCGCGUCCGAGGACAACUACUCUCGUCCCGAGGCCAGCAGUGAGUUUUACGACGGGGACCAUGACAAUGACAAGGAGAGUGAUGUGGAGAUUUAACCCCCCCCCCCCCCCCCCCAGGACUCAGUAACGAGUCCUCAGUAAGGCCGUGUGAGGGUCAUCAGGAGAGGUCAUCAGAGGUCAUCAGAGGUCAUUAGUAUUCCAGUAUAAUUCGGGGUUUUGUUGUGAUGUUGGCUCCUUGGGACUAGGCCGGUAU